rnacentral:rRNA from 1 species
UACGGAGGGUGCGAGCGUUGUCCGGAAUCAUUGGGCGUAAAGGGCGCGUAGGUGGCGGGACAAGCGUGCGGUGAAAGCCUGGGGCUCAACCCCGGGUCGGCCGUGCGAACUGUUUUGCUUGAGCACUGUAGAGGCAGGCGGAAUUCCGGGUGUAGCGGUGAAAUGCGCAGAUAUCAGGAAGAACACCCGUGGCUAAGGCGGCUCUCUAGUACGGUACUGACGCUGAGACGCGAAAGCGUGGGGAGCGAACAGG